AUGUUUUUGCCACCCCUGUGUUAACAGUGGCAUCUGAAAGCGUAUUCAGCACUGGUGGAAGAGUGUUAGAUACCUUUAGAAGCUCCCUCAACCCAGAAAUGGCUGAGGCAUUAAUCUGCUACCAAAAUUGGUUGAGACCUUGUUUGUUGCAAUUUAAAGAGGUUAAUCCAGUUGAAGAAUUAGAAAGCUCUGAAAAUAUUGUAAUAGGUAACAUUUAUUCUUUUCCCACUAUCAUUUAUAAUAUUUUUAUUUUAUUAUUUUUUAAUUUUUAGUUUUUUGUUGUCAUGUUCCUAAGAAUUUCAAAAGGGAACUACUAGAUCUCAAGGAGCUGGAGUUGUAGUAUCAAGGGUUAGGAUUGAAGAUGGUGGAGUUGGAUCAUCAUCUCAAUCACAUCCAGUGAUUACUAGCUGAAAGUCCCUUGGCGUUAUUUUUUGCUUAUUUUGGUCUACAUCCACUAAAGAUAUAUGGAGUCAUUAUUGUUUUUUUGGUAUAACAGUACUACUCAAUUACAUUUUUUGGUAAGAAAUUUUUUAUUCUUUCAUUUUCAAGAUAUGUACCAUAUUAUAUAAUGACGACUUAAUGUGUUAGCAAAUAAUUGGCAAAGAAUCAUCAUUUAGGUGGUAUCAUUGCACUUCUCAGAAUGCAUAAUAGAUCCUUCUAAAUUGCUUAUCUCAAUUUGGAAACAUGUCUUACCAAUUUGCAUGAAUUACAACAUUCUUGGAUCUUAUUAAGCUUUGUGCUUUCCUUGUCCCAUUGAUAUGUGUAGAUGAAUUCAUAUUUAUCUUUCAAUGAAUGGUAGUCUUAAAAGGUUGUAUUUCUACCAACAUCUUUCCUGUUUUCAGAGACACC